rnacentral:rRNA from 1 species
UAGGGAAUCUUCGGCAAUGGACGAAAGUCUGACCGAGCAACGCCGCGUGAGUGAAGAAGGUUUUCGGAUCGUAAAACUCUGUUGUUAGAGAAGAACAAGGACGUUAGUAACUGAACGUCCCCUGACGGUAUCUAACCAGAAAGCCACGGCUAACUACGUGCCAGCAGCCGCGGUAAUACGUAGGUGGCAAGCGUUGUCCGGAUUUAUUGGGCGUAAAGCGAGCGCAGGCGGUUUCUUAAGUCUGAUGUGAAAGCCCCCGGCUCAACCGGGGAGGGUCAUUGGAAACUGGGAGAAUUGAGUGCAGAAGAGGGGAGUGGAAUUCGAUGUGUAGCGGUGAAAUGCGUAGAUAUAUGGAGGAACACCAGUGGCGAAGGCGGCUCUCUGGUCUGUAACUGACGCUGAGGCUCGAAAGCGUGGGGAGCAAACAGG